rnacentral:misc_RNA from 1 species
ACACUCGGGACAAUUUGAGUUGCCCUGCUACCACUGCAUAUGUUGUUGGUGCUGUAGUUGGUGGUAUAUUUGGAGGUGUUGCAUUUGUCUAUACCUCAGCUGAUCAUCCGCCUAAAAGAUUCUUGUUUCCAUGGCUCUUGGGAGGCUUCUUUAUGAGUAUUAUUUGGUUCUAUAUCGUGGCAAAUGAACUAGUGGCUCUGCUAGUGGCAUUUGGUGUUAUCUUUGGUGUCAAUCCAUCAAUUCUAG